rnacentral:rRNA from 1 species
AGAGUUUGAUCCUGGCUCAGAUUGAACGCUGGCGGCAUGGCUAAAGCAUGCAAGUCGAACGAGAAAUCCACCUUCGGGUGGAGAGUAAAGUGGCGAACGGGCGAGUAAUGCGUUUCUAACGUACCUCAAGGCCAGGGAUAGCUCGGGGAAACCCGGGGUAAUACCUGAUGACCCCAUCGGAUCGCAUGUUCUGAUGGGCAAAGGCUUGCUACCUUGGGAUCGGGAAACGUCCUAUCAGGUUGUUGGUGGGGUAACGGCCUACCAAGCCUCAGACGGGUAGCGGGUGUGAGAGCACGACCCGCCGCAUCGGGACUGAGACACUGCCCGGACUCCUACGGGAGGCUGCAGCAACGGAUCUUCCGCAAUGCGCGAAAGCGUGACGGAGCAAUGCCGCGUGCAGGAUGAAGCCCCUCGGGGUGUAAACUGCUGUCAGGGUUUAGGAAUACUGACCAAACCCAAAGGAAGGGCCGGCUAACUUCGUGCCAGCAGCCGCGGUAAUACGAAGGGCCCAAGCGUUAAUCGGAUUCACUGGGCUUAAAGCGUGCGCAGGCGGACACGUCAGUGUCUUGUGAAAUCCCACGGCUCAACCGUGGAACUGCAGGGCAUACUGCGUGUCUUGAGGCGGGUAGGGGCUGCCGGAACUCUAGGUGUAGCGGUGAAAUGCGUAGAUAUCUAGAGGAACGCCAAAGGCGAAGGCAGGCAGCUGGGCCCGUUCUGACGCUCAGGCACGAAAGCGUGGGGAGCGAACAGGAUUAGAUACCCUGGUAGUCCACGCCGUAAACGAUGCACACUAGGUCCGGGAGGUCCUGACACCAUCCGGGCCGAAGCAAAAGUACUAAGUGUGCCGCCUGGGGAGUACGGUCGCAAGGCUGAAACUCAAAGGAAUUGACGGGGGCUCACACAAGCGGUGGAGCAUGUGGCUUAAUUCGAGCAACGCGAAGAACCUUAUCCUGGGCUUGACAUGCAUGGAUUAGCUACUGGAAACAGUAGUGACGCGGCUUGCCGUGGAACUUGCACAGGUGCUGCAUGGCUGUCGUCAGCUCGUGCUGUGAGGUGUUGGGUUAAGUCCCUUAACGAGCGAAACCCCUGCCGUUAGUUGCUAACAGGUUAUGCUGAGGACUCUAGCGGGACUGCCGGUGUCAAACCGGAGGAAGGUGGGGAUGACGUCAAGUCCUCAUGGCCUUUAUGCCCAGGGCUGCGCACGUGCUACAAUGGCGCGUACAAAGCGAAGCGAUGCCGCGAGGCGGAGCAAAUCGCAUAAAGCGCGCCCCAGUUCAGAUCGCAGUCUGCAACUCGACUGCGUGAAGGUGGAAUCGCUAGUAAUCGCGUAUCAGCAAUGACGCGGUGAAUACGUUCCUGAGCCUUGUACACACCGCCCGUCAAGUCAUGGAAGCUGGGAGCACCCGAAGUCGCACUAAUUCAAGUGUGCCGACGGUGAACUUGGUGACUGGGACUAAGUCGGAACAAGGUA